rfam:Aerococcus urinaehominis strain CCTG42038B, complete genome.
AUGAAAAUCAAUUGCUUACCGAAGACAGCUAGCGGCUUUGCCUUAAUUUCUAGCCGAGGAAGAUCCAGUUAGGUCACACCGAUGUGGCUUUAUUAAGAUCCUCUAUGUCUUUGGACAUAGAGUUUUUUUAUUAAAAAC